GACGAACGCUGGCGGCGUGCUUAACACAUGCAAGUCGAACGAUGAACCGGUUUCGGCCGGGGAUUAGUGGCGAACGGGUGAGUAACACGUGGGCAAUCUGCCCUGCCCUCUGGGAUAAGCCCGGGAAACUGGGUCUAAUACCGGAUACGACACUCCGAGGCAUCUUGGGGUGUGGAAAGUUCCGGCGGUGCAGGAUGAGCCCGCGGCCUAUCAGCUUGUUGGUGGGGUAAUGGCCUACCAAGGCGACGACGGGUAGCCGGCCUGAGAGGGUGACCGGCCACACUGGGACUGAGACACGGCCCAGACUCCUACGGGAGGCAGCAGUGGGGAAUAUUGCACAAUGGGCGAAAGCCUGAUGCAGCGACGCCGCGUGAGGGAUGACGGCCUUCGGGUUGUAAACCUCUUUCAGCAGGGAAGAAGCGAAAGUGACGGUACCUGCAGAAGAAGCACCGGCUAACUACGUG
rnacentral:rRNA from 1 species